ensembl:lincRNA
AAAUUUCAGUGCCCUAGAUAGACCAUUUUAGAGCAAACAAUUUAAAGUAAAUUAACAUUUUUCCCUUUAGUCUUCAUAACUACUAUUAUAUGAAUGUCUCCCAAAAUUCAUGUGUUGAAACCUAAUCACCAAUAUGGUAGUAUUAAGAGAUGGAGCCUUUAGGAGAUGAUUAAGACAGAAGCUCAGAGCCCUCAUGGACAAAAGCAGGGCCCUUAUCAAAACUAUGGAGGUAUGGGUUUGUUUUUUCCCAUCCUUUCUGUCUUGUGAGGGCACAGUAUUCAUCCUCUCCAAAGGAUGCAGCAACAAGGCAUCUUACAAGGUCUUGUAAGCAGAAGAGAGCCUUCAACAGAUGUUGGUGUCUUGUUCUUGGACUUCCCAGCCUCCAAAACUGUGAGAAAUACCUUUUUGUUGUUUAUAGAUGACUCAGUCUCAGGAAUUUUGUUAUAGCAGGACAAACAGACUAAAAGAACAAUGUCCCCAUUUUUUUUCUUUCAUGCUAACCACUAUAAUUUUUAAUUACAGAUUCAUUUGUCUACCUCUUUAUUAUGUCUCACCUCAAGUAGACUGGGAGUCUCUACAUUCACGCUCCUACAGAACCCAGGGCCAGCAGUCAAUCUGGGAAGAAAUGCAAGCAACUACAGGGAACAGUAAGUGCAGAGAAUUAUUAAUUUUCCCAGAGAAGAGCAAGUGCCAAAUUGCCUGCCAUAUGAAUGGACCAUCUUGGGAAUGAAUUCUCCAUCCGACACUACUUGGAACAGAUAAGCUGUCCUGGUCAAGUCUACACAAAUUGCAAAAUUAUGAAGUAAAAAGUGAUUGUUAGUAUUUUAAGCAUCUAAGAAUUUGGUUGAUUUGGGUUAUACAGCAAUAGAUAACCAAAACAGAAUUCAAAACUCUGAAGUGUGGUGGUACUGUAAACAAACUCAAAAUCUGUGGCACUGUCCUUAGAAUGGGUAUUGCGGGGAGAGGUGGGCAGAGGCCUGAAGAGCCUCAAGGAGACACUUAAUGAAGGUUUGAAAUAGAGUGAUGAAAUUGUUAUAGGAGUUCUCCUUUUACGGGUCGGGGAAGGUGUAGCAACAUCAUAAUCUGCGAUAAUAUGGAAGAUAGAAAGUCUACCUAAUGAAAUCAUGAUUAAAGAGAUGUCCGGGAAAAAUUUUCAAGUGCCAACUGGCUUCUUUUAACUGCACAGUAAAGUGCCAGAAAAUUGAGAUAAGCUAAAAAAAAAAGCAGAACUGUUCAGUUAUCAAGCAGAAUUUAGAGAAACUAUAAAAAAAUGGCCAGGCAUGGUGGCUCGUGUCUGUAAUCCUAGCACUUUGAGAGGCUGAAGCAGGCAGGUCACCUGAGGCCAGGAGUUUGAGACCAGCCUGGCCAUCAUGGAGAAACCUGGUCUCUACUAAAAAUACAAAAAUUAGUUGGGUGUGGUGGCGCAUGCCUGUAAUCCCAGCUACUCAGGAGGCUGAGGGAGGAGAAUCAUUUGAACCCAGGAGGCAGAGAUUGCAGUGAGCUGAGAUUGUGCCACUGCAGUCUAGGCUGGGUGACAGAGUGAGACUCUGACUCAAAAAAAAAAUAAUAAUAAAAUAUAAAAAAUAAAAAAGCCUGAUGCACUGGGUUUGGAAAUAAAACGUUUUCUCAUUCUUAACCUCUCCAGGCAGCAAAAUUUCACAAUGUAAGAAAUAGGCUCAGGACAAGCAUCACAUCCAAGGUAUUGUCUUCAAUGUGUGGCCUCACGUUCAAGAGUGUAGCCUAACACCUUGCUAUGGUCCAAAUGUUUGUGUCCUCCAAAGCUCACGUUGAAAUUUAAUUGCCAUUGUAACAACGUUGAGAAGUGGGAAUGGGAUCUUCAAGAGGUAACUGGGUCAUAAGGGCUCCACUCUCAUGGGUGCGAUUAAUGCUGUUAUAAAAAGUGUGAAUUUGGCCCUUUUUUCUCUCUUGCCUUUCUCCCGUCUCCCAUGUGAUGACACAGCAAGAAGGUCUUUGCAAGAGCCCAACACCUCGAUAUUGGACUUACCAGCCUCCAGAAUUGUAAGCUAAUAAUUUUCUGUUAAUUAUUUAUUAUCAGUCUCAG